GACGAACGCUGGCGGCGUGCUUAACACAUGCAAGUCGAACGGAAAGGCCCUGCUUGCAGGGUACUCGAGUGGCGAACGGGUGAGUAACACGUGGGUGAUCUGCCCUGCACUUCGGGAUAAGCCUGGGAAACUGGGUCUACUACCGGAUAGGACCAUCGUUUAGUGUCGGUGGUGGAAAGUUUUUCGGUGCAGGAUGAGCCCGCGGACUAUCAGCUUGUUGGUGGGGUAAUGGCCUACCAAGGCGUCGACGGGUAGCCUGUCUGAGAGGGUGGACGGCCACAUUGGGACUGAGACACGGCCCAGACUCCUACGGGAGGCAGCAGUGGGGAAUAUUGCACAAUGGGCGCAAGCCCGAUCCAGCGACGCCGCGUGAAUGAUGAAGGCCUUAGGGUUGUAAAGUUCUUUCGUCCGUGACGAUGAUGACAGUAGCGGAAGAAGAAGCUCCGGCUAACUUCGUGCCAGCAGCCGCCGUAA
rnacentral:rRNA from 1 species